CUGAGAACUUGCCCUUAUGGGUAGAUCUCCCACCCCAUGCUUACAUACUUUGUUGCUUUGGCAGGCCUGCCUUUGUGCUACCGGCCUUGGCUGGUUUGUGCCUGCCAGAGAACCAACACUCUGAAUCAUUGUCGUCUGAGUACUAUCUAAUAGUUA
rnacentral:misc_RNA from 1 species